rnacentral:rRNA from 1 species
GACGAACGCUGGCGGCGUGCUUAACACAUGCAAGUCGAACGGAAAGGCCCUGCUUGCAGGGUACUCGAGUGGCGAACGGGUGAGUAACACGUGGGUGAUCUGCCCUGCACUUCGGGAUAAGCCUGGGAAACUGGGUCUAAUACCGGAUAGGAGCCAUUUUUAGUGUGAUGGUUGGAAAGUUUUUUCGGCGUAGGAUGAGCUCGCGGCCUAUCAGCUUGUUGGUGGGGUAAUGGCCUACCAAGGCGGCGACGGGUAGGCGGCCUGAGAGGGUGGACGGCCACAUUGGGACUGAGAUACGGCCCAGACUCCUACGGGAGGCAGCAGUGGGGAAUAUUGCACAAUGGGCGCAAGCCUGAUGCAGCGACGCCGCGUGGGGGAUGACGGCCUUCGGGUUGUAAACUCCUUUCGCUAGGGACGAAGCUUUUUGUGACGGUACCUAGAUAAGAAGCACCGGCUAACUACGUG